UACGUAGGGGGCAAGCGUUGUCCGGAAUUAUCGGGCGUAAAGAGCGUGUAGGCGGUCCGGUAAGUCAGCUGUGAAAGUCAAGGGCUCAACCCUUGAAUGCCGGUUGAUACUGUCGGGCUAGAGUCCGGAAGAGGCGAGUGGAAUUCCCGGUGUAGCGGUGAAAUGCGCAGAUAUCGGGAGGAACACCAAUGGCGAAGGCAGCUCGCUGGGACGGUACUGACGCUGAGACGCGAAAGCGUGGGGAGCAAACAGG
rnacentral:rRNA from 1 species